rnacentral:lncRNA from 1 species
UGGGUGAAGACUAUUUGCAAUCGGCUCUUUUCCUCUUCUUCAGUCGAACUUUUAGAAAACAAGUUUCGGAGGGCGUUUCGCAUUCAGAAGGAGGCUCUGGUUAAAAUUAAACGAACUCAGGCGCUUGAAGGGAAAACGACAAACUUGAAAGAUCCAUAAAAAGCAGGCUAUUCUUUGAACAAAGAACAGCUGGUAGACUCCACAAAUGUUGAAGGAGAGUUUCAACUGCAACAUCUGCAUAUGAAGGGAAUACCUUUUCCACAUCAAUAAUGUCUCCAACACUCACAAUCUUCCCCUUGUUGGUUUUAUCCUCACACACCAGCAUUUGCCCAAGCUUUCUAGGCUGCUGUCCAACGUCUCGCUGACUGAUGAAGGGGAUAAAUGGAGCUGGUCUUUGGACUCAAAUGGGUUGUUUUCGGUCAGUGGGUUGAGGACGUGCUUGGUGCAAAACAACCAAACGGCUGCAGCUACCGUCUACUCGUGGAAUCGAUGGAUUCCACUCAAGGUUAACUUUCUAGUGUGGAGGUUAAACUUGAAUAGACUAUCAACGCGGGUGUCUUUGUUAAGGAGAGGCGUACAAGUGCCAUCCGCUUUGUGUGAGUUGUGUCGAGAUGAAGAGGAGUCUACCGAAGACGUUUUCUGCACGUGCCCGUUCACGCAAAAGGUUUGGGAUGGAAUUGCGAGGUGGUGCAGACUUCCAGCCAUUUAUUUUUUUUUUUUGGCUUGGGUGAUAAAUUAUCAUGUACAUGUGCUGGGCUCAAAAGUCUGGAAACAAUUGAUCUACUCAGGUCUUUCAAACAACGAUUUGGUGUAUUUGGUCGAGUAGAAAUAAUUUGGUGUUUGAGCGGGAGAAGUGCUCGCCUGAAAGGGUGCUGGAAGAAACAAAGACAUGGGGUUUUUGAGGAUAAAACAUCGAGCCAAAGCGACGGCAUUGACAUGGGAAAAGUGGAGUGAUUUUGAUGUUUCUUGCUUUGUUGUGUAGUGUGUAAUGUUGUAGUUGUACUGGUGUAUGGUACUUAACGUGGUUAACACAAUUUUGUUGACCCAUUUUAUAAUAAAAAUUAGUUGGCCGUUUAC